rnacentral:lncRNA from 1 species
AUCUCAGCCUGCCUCACUACUAUCUGUCAUCCUCAUUCUAGCUUAAAAUGCUUCUGUGGCCUCCCGUGGACCUGAGGAUGAGGACUAACUCUGCUCUGCAUGCAGGCCCUCCUGAGUCAGGCCUUCUUCUCCAGGCUGGUCGCCCACAGUCAUUCUGCCCUCCAGCCAUCCCAAGCCAGAAGGCCUCCUUCUCAGAACUACUGAUUUCACACUUCCCUGUGUUGUACUUUCCCCACCACCCCGACUAGGCAUGCUGCUCCCUCUAUCCUUGCAAACAGAACAUGGCUGUGCAGUCGGCGAGGACAUCCUUCCAGGCUUCCUGACCACAGGCAGCAGGCACCAUGCCACGAGGAGCCACAGACCAAGAGGCUGCCUGGGGCAGGGAAGCCGGUGUGCACCCCUCCCUGGCUAGUCAGCUUAGGCAGCAGUGCCAUGACAUGGCAGGAAGACUGGCCUAGAGGGAGAAGACCCUGGAAGAAGCCUGUCUCUGUCACUUCUUAGAAACGCCCACUGUUGCUUAGCCUCUGCAGAUGGGAAAUGGAUGCGAAAUGGCCUUACUUCUCAUGAGAUGACACUGGCACCACUGUGAGCCUGAGUGCCUCCUUAACUUUUGUGCCUGAGGUGCCUCUCUAGUCUCACCCUGGUCCUGGCGCUGCUGGGGAUAAGUAGAGGGAGUGGAGUCUUGGAUGAACUAGAGGCAUGUUGCACACAGCCGGAGAGGGAGAAACCGAGGAGAGAAAAGAGAAGAGAAAGUGAGUGGGAUGGAACAGCCUGCAGGAGUCUGGAUGGAAGGGGUCUUUGGUUUAGGUUGGUCUGCUUUUGAGGCAAAGACACACAUUCCCAGAGAUUUGAAGGAAGCCUGCAUAAAACAGAGACAAAACCACACUGCGCUCUCCUGAGGUAGAGAGGGGGAAACUGGAAGCUCAUGCAGGCAUUCACUCACUCAUCGAACACCUGGUUCCCAUCUUGUGCGCACUAAUGCAUCCAACAAACACUAAAGAGCAUCGAGCAUGUGUAAGCCUCAUGGGGUUAAGAACUCAAGCUGAUGGUCCCAGUAAUCAUGAUACUCCUGAGAGGUUCAGUCACAAUAUGAAUCUGUGCCCCAUAUGGGAAAGAAUUCCAGAAUAAGUACAACCUGGGUUAUUCUUCCAAAGAACCUGAGAGAAGGGCCCCUCUGAGCAAAGGCACAGCAAGUGAUGAAUGCUGAAGGAGCAGACGUGCUGUCGGCUGCAGGUCCUGCCAACUGUAGCCUGUUCAGCAGUGCAGAGGGAGAUGUGAACAGGUGGCCGGACGCAAAAGAUCCCAGUACUGGAGGGAAAAGCCUGGGUCCUUCUCAUCUUGUACACUCUGUCAGUAGUCACUGUUAUCACGGUCGAUAUGAAGUUGACGGACACAGAGCUAUUUGGUGGAUGGAUGCUUAUUUAAAUAAAGCCUUACUUCUUAGCCAAAUCUAAAAGAACAAACCUGGAAUUGAAAGAAAUCCCAAUGUGUUCAACCUUCCAGGUUUAGAGAAGGGCCACGUUUCAAUGUUAUUGCUUGUAUCUAGAUUGUGUAUUCACAUACAAAACAAGGACAGGUGUCUAAUCAUAUCUUACACUGAAGUUGUCCAGUGAAUGGGUCAGAUCACUGUCUAAGCAAGCGCAAGACCUCAAAUACCUGAGAGCGCCACCAGACGGCAGCCACAAGGCUCCCUCCCAGAUGGAGGCUUCUUUCCUGCUCUCUCCCUUAAGGAGCAGCUCCAGGUUGCCUCUCCACUCUCCCCAGCUAGAGUUCUUUUCUCUCUCUUUACCCUGUAGGUAAUGUGACCCCAUAGAACCCAGGUCCUUAAGAGGAGGCACAGACAAGUCACUGUGGCUGAAUAAGUGUUUGCAUUUAGCUUUGACUUGAAGCGAGAAGCAAUGUUUCACAGGGCAGAGCCUUGAGACUGAGGAGGCUACUGGCGGGGAGUCCCGUGGCUAGUGUGGCCAGUGCCUGUGGCAGGCCAAGAGGGCCAUGGAAAAGGGGAAGUAGGGAAGCAGCUCUCUGGUCUCCCCAGGAACCUCUCCUCAGUGUCUGCAGGGUCUGUCUCUGGAGAACGGUGGAAGUCCCCAUUCUUUCUUGGAGAUGGCCGCAGCCCACCAGUGUCCUGCAGAGCAGAAGCAGGUUCCUGCUGUGACAACUGAGGACUGGAAAUGGGGCUUUGGGACUCCAUGGGCUGACAUCAGGGAAACCAGUGAAUCUGGGCUAAAGGGCAGGGCCUCCUUUGAAAUCUCUACUUUAUGUUAUUUUUUGAGAUUUUAUUUUUCUUCAAUUUUCUUAGUAAUUGGUCAUUUGGAAAAAUCCCGGCUCAUUCUUUUCUAAACAAAGGGAAAAGGAUGUUUUCAGCCGUGCAAAUAGAGCUGGGUGGAGAGAAGAGGUGUUCUAGGCAGAGAGAAAAGUGCCUGAGAGGCCAGGCCAAUAGUGUGUGUGUGUGUGUGUGUGUGUGUGUGUGUGUGUGUGCGUGUCUGUGUGUAGGAUACGACUUCUCACCUAUCUGUCUUGAAGGACCUGUUUUUCUUUUUAAUUUCCAAUUCAUUGCAGGCCUAUACUUUUGUAGAGACAAUAGAAUAAAACUACUAGAAAAAUGAAAUUAAGAAGACAUAUAAAAUACAAGCCUUGAUUUUUAUGAUUGUAUUAAACAAACAUAAAAUUACUUUGUCAGAUUGCUCUAAAAGUUUCUAAAUUCUUGCUUCAAUUUUUCUACUUAACUUGUCACGGACUAGUAAAAAUCAAUUCACAGGCUGGCACGAAGCUGUGGACCACGCAUUGAAUAUCACUGGUGUGGGACAGGGAGGGGGAAAGAUAGGAAAACUCAUGAAGGAGGUGGACUAUGGGGACAUCUGGAAGGGCUGGUUCCUCCCAAGUCUCCAUCAUCAGUUUUCCUUCAUGAGCUGUCUUGUCUAUGUUUUCACUUUUUACAAGGGGGCAUUAUUUUAUAGAGGGAGUGGCAAGGCCUUGGGUUCUGCUGGUACACCCUGAGUGACCAGUGAGAACGUUGAGCUUCCAGAUUACCUGGCUUGUGCUUCUCAGUCCUCCCAGGGGGGUCUCUGAUUAUUGACAAAUGGGAGGGGCCCUGGGGUAUUCUGGACAUGGACUGGACAUCUAUGAGAGAGAUGAAGAGGAGGAUGAGGAAGAGAAAGAUGAGGAUGGGGAGGGGUUGGAUGUACUCCGAUGAAGUUUGUAUCUUGUAGGUAGACCAGUGCUUUUUAAACUUUAAACUUUAAUGGGUAUACACAUUGCCUGCAGAUGUUAUUGAGAUGCAGGUUCUGAUUCAGCAGGUCUGGAGUUGAGUUUGAGCAUCUGUGUUUCUAACAAGCUCCAAGGGGAUGUCAACACAGCUGGUCCAGGGGAGAUGCUAGAUGCCUUCAGCUCCAUGGUGCCAGGAGAUCCCUGGUAACACUAAUGUCUCCUUCGUCAGCCAGGUGGGUGGGGUCUGAUGCACUCCAGCAUCUGUAAGCUGAACCUUACGUUCUCCGCUUCCAGAGCAGGGACCUAUGAAGCUGGAGCCAGGGCCUCAUAGGAACAAGUAUAACCAAUCCUUUAUUGACCACCCUUAGUCAUCAAGGAGUAUGGACUCUUUGAACAAACCAAAUCAAACUAUCAGGUACUGCAAAUCGUUGAUAUUGAUGAACAAUAUGAAACCAAUUGAUAGACCUCUAUUAACAAAAAACUAGAUGCUACAAUCAUAUAUCUGUUUAAACAAGUAAGAGGUAACCGAGUUUUCUGAUGUACUCCACAAACAAGGGCUUUGGGCAAGCCUCAGUUCUGUCUUUGGUAAACUGGAAGAAAUUUGAACAGGAAUGGGGCUGUGUGGAAAGGCAGAGCUCUCAGUGCCUGUGGGGCUCUGGCUCUGGUGUCAAGGAUUCUAUGACAUUGUCUGGGCCAGGCGCUUUUCUGGCUGACCUUGGUCUUGCUGAACCUCUGAGAGGCUCCUCAGCCCUGUGGUCACUCAUGGGCUCACCAGAAGCUUGGAAGCUGGAAAUGCAUUCAGAGCUGCCCUGGGCUUAGCCCUCUGGGGUGUGGAGUGAUGCUCUUUCUUUUCUUUUUUUAGUUUGAGAGGUGGGGCAUAUCCAUUAUAUAAAACCCUUAAUUAAAAAAAAUUUUUACUAUCGUAUCAUUUUUUCCUAAGAAGAACAAAUUAUUCAUUUAGUAUUUCAAACACAUGUAAGAAGGAAAUGACAGGUUUCUUCCACCCACAUGGGGGCUUUCACUGAUAAGCUCACGGACAGUCCUGGCAGUACCAUGGGCUGUUAUUGUCAUUGGACCAUACUGUAUUUAGCACUCACUAGAAAUAGCAUGCAGGUGAUAGUAUCAACAGCUAUAGCACUACAGGUAAAUGUUAAAAAAAA